GACGAACGCUGGCGGCGUGCCUAAUACAUGCAAGUUGAGCGCUGAAGGUUGGUACUUGUACCGACUGGAUGAGCAGCGAACGGGUGAGUAACGCGUGGGGAAUCUGCCUUUGAGCGGGGGACAACAUUUGGAAACGAAUGCUAAUACCGCAUAAAAACUUUAAACACAAGUUUUAAGUUUGAAAGAUGCAAUUGCAUCACUCAAAGAUGAUCCCGCGUUGUAUUAGCUAGUUGGUGAGGUAAAGGCUCACCAAGGCGAUGAUGCAUAGCCGACCUGAGAGGGUGAUCGGCCACAUUGGGACUGAGACACGGCCCAAACUCCUACGGGAGGCAGCAGUAGGGAAUCUUCGGCAAUGGACGAAAGUCUGACCGAGCAACGCCGCGUGAGUGAAGAAGGUUUUCGGAUCGUAAAACUCUGUUGGUAGAGAAGAACGUUGGUGAGAGUGGAAAGCUCAUCAAGUGACGGUAACUACCCAGAAAGGGACGGCUAACUACGUG
rnacentral:rRNA from 1 species